UCUUACUACCGGUCGUGCUCUAGAACGUCAUUAGGCAACCAAUGUACGGAGGACGCGACUCGUCUAAUGUGUUUUGGAUCGUGCACGGGAGAUUUUUGCAAUGCAAAUGAUACAGGGCUUCAACAUGAAAAAUUCUUCGAAAACACAUUUCAAUGCUACCAGUGUUCAUAUGAUAAACUCUCAAACACAGGCAAGGAUUUGAAUAACCCAAAAUGUAUGACUCAACCAGGAGAACUUGACAGCAGAACAACACAUUACCCUUGCAAUGACACGGGGUUCUGUACAUUCACGGAAAUAUACAGUUUAGAGUCAAAAGAAGUCACUUCUUACUACCGGUCAUGCUCUAGAACGUCAUUAGGCAACCAAUGUACGGAGGAGGCGACACGUCUAAUGUGUUUUGGAUCGUGCAAGGGAGAUUUUUGCAAUGCAAAUGAUACAGGACUUCAACAUGAGAAAUUCUUCAGAAACAGUUCGUAUGACUUUUGAAUUAUAGCAGUUUUAAGACAAUGACACAGGUUUAUUACAAGAAGGCGUCAGUCGAGCAUUUACUUUCGGCUAAAGUGUUUAUGACAUAACAGUGUCGUUCUAAAAUGUAUAAGCAACUAUACUAUUGGCAAACAUCACAAAUCUAGUUUUAAAUCGAUAAGUUCAAUGCCGCAAUCACGAAUGCAGUGAUUCAGAAGCUGUUUUUAUUUAUAUUCGACUGCGUCCUUAAUUGAAUAUCUCGACAAAAUAUGAGUGUGACUCAAACAGUGGGACAGUGCAUAUAUAGGGAUCGGUCUGUAAUGGAUCCCCUAGUUAGAGUCACAUAGUGGGGCUUGGUUGGUAUUACUCAGCUACAAGUGUUCAAAUAGUAAACACAUUAUACUCUGUUUUCUUUAUUUCAGCAUUUAUUGCUACAUGUGUUCGUAUAAUGAACACUGAAGCACGGGUUUUCUUUAUUUUCAUUUUCAUUGCUACAUUUGUUCAAACCGUAAACACCCAAACAAGCCCGCAUGUUUGUUUGUUGUUGUUGUUGUUUUUUUUUGUUUUGUUUUGUUUUGUUUUGUUUUGUUUUUGUAUGUGCUCAUACAAAACACCUUUUUUCGUCUUGUCAACACGUGUCUAUAAGGAAAAGAACAUUUAUUAAUCUCCAUUUUAAUGUAAUUUAUAAAUUUAUAAAACAAUUGUAUUUUAUUUCACCAUUUCUGUACUUAGUAUUUAAAAAAAAACACCAGAUAACUGCAUUUAAUUUUAAGUGCUUGUGCUACAAAACAAGGUCAAGAAAAAUCUUUUAAAUAUACUUUACUAUAACCUAACAAACAAUGCCAUUGUUGACUUUUUCAGCAUUUCUCUACUACACAUGUUUUUAUAACAAACUCUCAAACACGAAGGCGCCUUGGAAUAAUAGGAAAUGUAUGAAUAAUCCUGGCGAAAUGGAAAGAACAACUCACUACAUGUGCGAUAACACGGAUUUCUGCAUAUUUCAGGAAGUAUACAGUUUGGUGUCAAAAGAAGUUACUUCUUACUUACGGUCAUGUUCUAGAACGCCACUAGCCAACACGUGCACGAAAGAUGCGACACGUGUAAUGUGCACAGGAUCGUGCAAGGGAGAUUUUUGCAAUGCAAAUGAUACUGGGCUUCAACAUGAGAAAUUCUUUGGAAGCCGUUCGUCCACUAAUUGUGUGCUGACCUGUUCUGUAUUUAUUCACAUGCUUAUAUGUCUGUUUGCAUUUGCCUUAAAUUCAUAAAGUAUAGAAUAUUAUAUUACUCUUAUAAAAUAUGUAAUAUUCUUUAGUAGAACAGUUAGACAGGACUGGUCCAAAUUUUUACUUGGUGGGUUCCAAAUGAUAACAAUCGGACAUAACUGAUCGCAACUUUGACAUCGCUACUAAAACAGUAGCAGUGUAUCAUGUAACUUACUGACAUCCAGCAAAACUUGAUGGCUUUCGCGGACAGGGGCACAUUUGACUAAUACCUAAAAAUAACCUGUGACUGUAUUCCACAUGUAGUACAAAGAGGAAAGACUGCUUUGUUUCUUAUUAUUCUAUUGUAUGAGCAAUAACACAAUACAAAGGUGGCAUAAAACUGGCAGCAGAGAAACCGCAAAAUGUUUUGCCGAUAUCAUGGGAAGAAACAACUGACUGCUGCCAACGUACUAGCAUAACUGGCUAGUCAGCGGCCUACGUUACCGUAGUACCAGAUCCCAGAGCUAAACCAACUUUCUGCUGUGGACAGUGCAUUGGGACAAUCUGUACUACCCGUCCCCCUAGGAGAAGCUACCUAGCUUGAAACAGCUAUAGGCCUCCCUUCUAUAUAAAGAAGAGGAGGGUGAAUCAUCGUUAAACUCGGAUUGUACCCUAGCAUGCCCACUACUUUAACACUGCAGCUUGAAUAGAUGUCAAGGCAGGGGAAGGGCCAGAUUGAGAACGGCCCAGUUCACGUUUUCUCUCUCGGGCUGCCACAGAAAACAUCCUUGAGGAUUUUUUCCUCCAAAAACGCUGCGUUGUUUGUA